AUUGAACGCUGGCGGCAGGCCUAACACAUGCAAGUCGAACGAGUGGCGGACGGGUGAGUAAUAUCUGGGAAACUGCCUGAUGGAGGGGGAUAACUACUGGAAACGGUAGCUAAUACCGCAUACCAUCGGAUGUACCCAUAUGGGAUUAGCUAGUAGGUGGGGUAAAGGCUCACCUAGGCGACGAUCCCUAGCUGGUCUGAGAGGAUGACCAGCCACACUGGAACUGAGACACGGUCCAGACUCCUACGGGAGGCAGCAGUGGGGAAUAUUGCACAAUGGGCGCAAGCCUGAUGCAGCCAUGCCGCGUGUAUGAAGAAGGCCUUCGGGUUGUAAAGUACUUUCAGCGGGGAGGCGUUACCGACAGAAGAAGCACCGGCUAACUCCGUGCCAGCAGCCGCGGUAAUUC
rnacentral:rRNA from 1 species